rnacentral:rRNA from 1 species
UAAGCAUAUCACUAAGCGGAGGAAAAGAAACUAACUAGGAUUCCCCCAGUAACUGCGAGUGAAGAGGGAAGAGCUCAUCAUUGGAAUCUGGCAGCGUUGCGCUGUCCGAGUUGUAGAUGAGAAGAGUGGGACAUCUGGACUGCAUGGUGUCCAAGUACAAUAGGCCGUCAGUGGGACAUCAUAGAGGGUGACAAUCCCGUCCUUGACACCAAUGUACGAGUCCUUUACGAUGCCUAUCUCGGAGAGUCGAGCAGUUUGGGAUUUGCUGCUUAAACACGGGAGGUAGAUUCCUUCCAAAGCUAAAUACAGGCAAGAGACCGAUAGUGAACAAGUACCGCAAGGGAAAGAUGAAAUAGAACUCUGUGAAGGGAGUCAAAAAGACGUGAAAUUGUUGCGAGAGAAGCGAUUCAAGUCAGCGUAGCUGGGCCCAUCAAGCCUCGCGCUUUGGACCAGCUUUGCCAGCGGUCUUGUCCCUAGAGACUUGACUAAGGUGCCCUGCCCGGUCUAACGGACAGGCCUCCCCUCUGGGGAGGCCAGUGGCAUGGCUGGUGGAAUGGCUUGCAAUCGACCCGUCUUGAAACACGGACCAAGGAGUCUAACAUGUACGCGAGUAUAAGGGUGGCAAACCCGUAUGCGCAAAGAAAGUGAUAGCCUUCAUGGCUGAGAAUGACCUGACGACCAGACAAGAAAUAUCAUGUCCCUCGUACGGUCAUUGCCCAAGUCCYAUGGUCAGAUCCCAUGGACAUGGAGUUGGAGCGUGCAUGCUAGGACCCGAAAGAUGGUGAACUAUGCCUGGACAAAGCGAAGCCAAAGGAAACUCUGGUGGAGGCUUGUAGCGAUUCUGACGUGCAAAUCGAUCGUCUGAUCUGGGUAUAGGGGCGAAAGACUAAUCGAACC